CUCUCUCUAUCUCUAUCUCUAUGUACUCCGAAGCUGAUGAGUUCGGUUGAGGGGAGUGUUGUCUGGUUCGAGAUCAUUUCUCUUUGCUCUUUAGGAUUGUUGAUUGAGCUUCGAUCACAUGCGUUCAUGAGAAACCGAUUGGUGAUUUCGGACCAGGCUUCAUUCCCCUCAGCAGUUUUUCAAGGAAAGCUUUGCUAUUCGAGUUGCAUCGGCCGAGCCUCUUUCCGGGUACUAUGAGGACCUCAGCAGAUGGCCAACCAUAUGUAAGGAUUCGAAUGGACAUGUGCAAGCUCAGAAUAUCAUUUGUGCCUUCUUGGUUGUCCUGCCUUUUUUUUGUGUCAGAAUUGAAGUGAUUCCUAAUAAAAGGACCCACAAA